UACGUAGGUGGCGAGCGUUAUCCGGAUUUACUGGGCGUAAAGCGCUUGUAGGCGGCUUCGUAAGUUGGGCGUGAAAGCUCCGGGCUUAACCCGGGGAGGCCGUCCAAUACUGCGGAGCUCGAGGGUGCCAGAGGAAGGUGGAAUUCCUGGUGUAGCGGUGAAAUGCGUAGAUCUCAGGAGGAGCACCCGUGGCGAAGGCGGCUUUCUGGGGCAUUCCUGACGCUGAGAAGCGAAAGCUAGGGGAGAAAACAGG
rnacentral:rRNA from 1 species